rnacentral:rRNA from 1 species
GAGACAGCAGUCGCCGCGGGAAUACAGAGGGUGCGAGCGUUAAUCGGAUUUACUGGGCGUAAAGCGUGCGUAGGCGGCUUCUUAAGUCGGAUGUGAAAUCCCUGAGCUUAACUUAGGAAUUGCAUUCGAUACUGGGAAGCUAGAGUAUGGGAGAGGAUGGUAGAAUUCCAGGUGUAGCGGUGAAAUGCGUAGAGAUCUGGAGGAAUACCGAUGGCGAAGGCAGCCAUCUGGCCUAAUACUGACGCUGAGGUACGAAAGCAUGGGGAGCAAACAGGAUUAGAGACCCCUGUAGUCCCUGUCUCUUAUAC